UUCAAAAAGCUUAGCCAAACAUGCCCUAAGUCAUAAAUUGCUCCAAAAUAUCUUACCGUCACUUCCAUUCUGUUCUAUCACUUUUGCCUGUAUGCGCAUCUGUAAGCAGUUCAUCCGCUCGUCUGAAACAUUGGAUACGUCGAUCCAUACAGAACAUAUCGGUUAAAGCCAUGAUAAAACUCUUUGAUGCUCAUUGUCACCUACAAGACCCGAGAAUCUUCAAUAAGGCCCCGAAGCUCAUCAAGACAGCUCUAGAAAACGGCAUACAUCAUUUUGCGGUCAACGGGGUCUGCGAGAACGAUUGGCACUUGGUGAAGGAGAUGAGUGACACCUAUCCUUGUAUAAUCCCGUCAUUCGGGCUCCACCCAUGGUACAUCACAGACCGAACCCCCAACUGGCUGACAUCUUUACGUGAACUCUUUGACGCAAACCCUUCGGCUGCAGUAGGAGAGAUCGGUUUGGACAAAGGGUCACAUGGAAAGACGAUUGAUUUCACCGAUCAGGUUCAAACCUUCCUGUUGCAGCUUCAACUUGCUAAAGAACUGAAACGGCCCGCUUCUGUGCACUGUGUGCGUGCUUUUGGUGAUCUUCUCGACAUAAUGAAAUCUCUCGGGCCGUUUCCGGAAGGUGUAAUCUUGCACUCGUACUUAGGUUCUGCAGAGAUGGUUCCUGAGUUUGCUAAACUCGGAGCGUAUUUUUCGUUCUCGGGGUUUCUUAUGGCGAUGAAAGAAACCAAGGCUAAGAAGAUGCUGAAAGCUGUACCUUCUGAUAGGAUUUUACUGGAGACCGAUGCACCAGAUGCGGUACCGAAACCGAACAGUUCAGAGUCCAUUUUUUUGGUGGAAGGAGAUGAGAAUAAUGGAGACCCGAAGGAGAUGCUUAAUCAUCCGGCUAAUAUCCAGUUUGUGCUUUCUUAUGUUGCGUCUUUGCUUGAGCUCUCUAAAGAAGAAGUCGCAGAUGUAAGCUACAAAAAUGCAGUGCGCUUGUUUUCUUAUGAAGGAUCUAAACUACAACAAGGAAGCUAUUUUCCCACUGUGUUUAUGCACUAUUCCCCUUUCCUUCCUCAAUAUUCAUAUUGGCGAACACUAUUGACAUCUGUUCCACGAUUAUGGCAUCAAGUUUCAGCUGCUCCCUCUGCCAUCCAACUUUAGCAUCCGUCGCUUUCGCCGAUUUUAUUUAUGUUCGUUUGUGUUCGUGAAUCGUUUCUCGUUUGUGAACACGUUUAUUUUCUUAACGAACGAACACAAACAUAAAAAUUCGUAUUCGUUCGGUAGGUGUUCAUGAACUAUUCGUAAACACGUUUAUUUCCUUAACGAACGAACAAGAACAAGGUCUUGUUUGUGUCCGUUCAGUUCGUUUACAGCCCUACCGGUAUUUGAAGGUAAAAGCCAGUAAUACUGGUACGUGUACAUGCUCAUCCCUUUUACUGGUUUAGUGGAUUAAAUAAUAAUUCUAUAUUCUUGGUAUAUGUGUAGUUUAGACCUAGGGCAUGUUUGGCUAAGCUUUUUGAAACAACUUAUUGACUUAUUGGCUUUUUGAAAAGUCAUAAGCUCUAAAAUGAUGUUUGGCAAUGAAGGUGUAUGUGAGGGGAAAAAGCCAAUUUUUACAAGCUAAGGUAGUGAUUCACCGAAAAGAGAUAAAAACGAGUAAUGAACUCGGGAACGUAUAGAAUGGGACUUCAUAGUUUAUACUUGUACAACAUCUUCAUUGUAAAUUGUCAUCUAAACUGUUUCAAAUGAGUUUCCGCUAUGCUAUAUAGCUAUAAGUUAUUAAUUUUUUUUGGUAGUUUACAUAAA